UGGGGAAUCUUGCGCAAUGGCCUAAGGGCUGACGCAGCGACGCCGCGUGCGGGAGGACGCCCCUCGGGGUGUAAACCGCUGUCAGCGGGGACGAAGUCCUGUCGGAGGCAAUGCCGGCAGGGGUGACGGUACCCGCAGAGGAAGCACCGGCUAACUCCGUGCCAGCAGCCGCGGUAAUACGGAGGGUGCGAGCGUUGUUCGGAAUCAUUGGGCGUAAAGCGCGCGCAGGCGGCUCUUUAAGUCUACCUGUGAAAGGCCGGGGCUCAACCCCGUGCAUGCAGGAGAUACUGGAGGGCUGGAGAGGGGCAGAGGCCGGCGGAAUUCCGGGUGUAGCGGUGGAAUGCGUAGAGAUCCGGAAGAACACCAGAGGCGAAGGCGGCCGGCUGGGCCUCAUCUGACGCUGAGGCGCGAAAGCGUGGGGAGCGAACAGG
rnacentral:rRNA from 1 species